UCGAACGGCAGCACGGGUGCUUGCACCUGGUGGCGAGUGGCGAACGGGUGAGUAAUACAUCGGAACAUGUCCUGUAGUGGGGGAUAGCCCGGCGAAAGCCGGAUUAAUACCGCAUACGAUCUACGGAUGAAAGCGGGGGACCUUCGGGCCUCGCGCUAUAGGGUUGGCCGAUGGCUGAUUAGCUAGUUGGUGGGGUAAAGGCCUACCAAGGCGACGAUCAGUAGCUGGUCUGAGAGGACGACCAGCCACACUGGGACUGAGACACGGCCCAGACUCCUACGGGAGGCAGCAGUGGGGAAUUUUGGACAAUGGGCGAAAGCCUGAUCCAGCAAUGCCGCGUGUGUGAAGAAGGCCUUCGGGUUGUAAAGCACUUUUGUCCGGAAAGAAAUCCUUGGUUCUAAUAUAGCCGGGGGAUGACGGUACCGGAAGAAUAAGCACCGGCUAACUACGUGCCAGCAGCCGCGGUAAUACGUAGGGUGCGAGCGUUAAUCGGAAUUACUGGGCGUAAAGCGUGCGCAGGCGGUUUGCUAAGACCGAUGUGAAAUCCCCGGGCUCAACCUGGGAACUGCAUUGGUGACUGGCAGGCUAGAGUAUGGCAGAGGGGGGUAGAAUUCCACGUGUAGCAGUGAAAUGCGUAGAGAUGUGGAGGAAUACC
rnacentral:rRNA from 1 species